GGCCCCAUAAUGGAAAGCGAUUGGAGGAAGAAAACGACAAAUAUAAGUUGUUUAAAAAUAACGGCGUAGUUGUUACCGUUUACACUGUUGGAAUACCCGGUGGUUAAAAUACAGUAAUAUGCGUGGUUGCACAGUAGCACACGGUAUUGCACAGUAUUGUUGAAUUAUUGAUCCUUACGUAAGAAGGCACUACUCAAUAAUUGUUACAGUAGUUACUGUUCAAUAUUAUAUUGAUUCAAUAAUUGCUGCGUUGAUAUUUGGUAUCACUGUUGUUUCAAUAAUUGUCAUUACACAGUAUUUUCCAUUAUCAAAUCAAUAAUUCAUAUUAUUUGAAUAAUAUUAUCAGAUAACAUUAUUGGCAAUGUCUAGAAAGUUCUGUCUAAGGAGAGGUUUGGUCACCUAAUU
rnacentral:lncRNA from 1 species